rnacentral:rRNA from 1 species
CUACGGGAUGCAGCAGUGAGGAAUAUUGCACAAUGGGGGGAACCCUGAUGCAGCAACGCCGCGUGGAGGAUGACGCAUUUCGGUGUGUAAACUCCUUUUAUAUGUCAAGAAAAUGACGGUAGCAUAUGAAUAAGCACCGGCUAACUCCGUGCCAGGCAGCCGCGGUAAUACGGAGGGUGCAAGCGUUACUCGGAAUCACUGGGCGUAAAGGACGCGUAGGCGGGUUGGAAAGUCAGGUGUGAAAUCCUACAGCUUAACUGUAGAACUGCAUUGAAACUUCUAAUCUAGAGUAUGGGAGGGGGAGAUGGAGUUAGUGGUGUAGGGGAAAAAUCCGUAGAUAUAACUAGGAAUACCUAAAGCGAAGGCGAUCUCCUGGAACAUUACUGACGCUAAGGCGUGAAAGCGUGGGGAGCAAACAGGAUUAGAUACCCGAGUAGUC